rnacentral:rRNA from 1 species
CAGUAGCCGCGGUAAAACGUAGGUGGCAAGCGUUGUCCGGAAUUAUUGGGCGUAAAGGGCUCGCAGGCGGUUUCUUAAGUCUGAUGUGAAAGCCCCCAGCUCAACCGGGGAGGGUCAUUGGAAACUGGGAAACUUGGGCGCAGAAGAGGAGAGUGGAAUUCCACGUGUAGCGGUGAAAUGCGUAGAGAUGUGGAGGAACACCAGUGGCGAAGGCGACUCUCUGGUCUGUAACUGACGCUGAGGAGCGAAAGCGUGGGGAGCGAACAGGAUUAGAUACCCGGGUAGUCCCUGUCUCUUAUAC